GGCGCCAUGGCUCAGCUGGUUAAAGCGCCUGUCUAGUAAACAGGAGAUCCUGGGUUCGACUCCCAGUGGUGCCU
rfam:Balearica pavonina gibbericeps contig32729, whole genome shotgun sequence.